CCCUCUCCUGCUCUAUUUCCAAGCUAAGUCCCCUAACAUCUUUGCAGAUUCAAUUACGUUGGCAAAUGGCUUUGACUCAGUCCACUCAAGUGAAGAUGUUGGUGGCUUUCUUAGCCAUCAUAGUUCUUAUGUCAUCUGCUAGUGCUGCUGUUAUCCCUCAGGAUUUGAUCCUGAAACCUAUUAAUCUGGGACGGAAGCUUCUGGAUAAUUAUUAUAACCCUCCCAACGCAUAUCCUGAUAUACCAAGUGGAUCAGGAGGCUAUCCAUGCUGCAAAUAAGAAGCUGCAAAGAGUUGAGAAGAAAAAGAAUAACAAGAACAAGGGCAAAAGACAUUACUGUAUUUGUUUUUAAGUGAAUUGAGUGUAUGGUUCGGAAAAAUAUAUAAGAGAAUAAAAUGAAUGGCACAAA